GAUGAACGCUGGCGGCGUGCCUAAUAUAUGCAAGUCGAGCGAAUGGAUUAAGAGCUUGCUCUUAUGAAGUUAGCGGCGGACGGGUGAGUAACACGUGGGUAACCUGCCCAUAAGACUGGGAUAACUCCGGGAAACCGGGGCUAAUACCGGAUAACAUUUUGAACCGCAUGGUUCGAAAUUGAAAGGCGGCUUCGGCUGUCACUUAUGGAUGGACCCGCGUCGCAUUAGCUAGUUGGUGAGGUAACGGCUCACCAAGGCAACGAUGCGUAGCCGACCUGAGAGGGUGAUCGGCCACACUGGGACUGAGACACGGCCCAGACUCCUACGGGAGGCAGCAGUAGGGAAUCUUCCGCAAUGGACGAAAGUCUGACGGACCAACGCCGCGUGAGUGAUGAAGGCUUUCGGGUCGUAAAACUCUGUUGUUAGGGAAGAACAAGUGCUAGUUGAAUAAGCUGGCACCUUGGCGGUACCUAACCAGAAAGCCACGGCUAACUACGUGCCAGCAGCCGCCGUAA
rnacentral:rRNA from 1 species